rnacentral:rRNA from 1 species
GAUGAACGCUGGCGGCGUGCUUAACACAUGCAAGUCGAACGAAGCAUUUUGAAGGAAGCCUUCGGGUGAAAUGAGAAAUGACUGAGUGGCGGACGGGUGAGUAACGCGUGGGUAACCUGCCUUAUACAGGGGGAUAACAGUUGGAAACGACUGCUAAUACCGCAUAUGCUCGUAGGAUCGCAUGAUCUAGUGAGGAAAGAUUUAUCGGUAUAAGAUGGACCCGCGUCUGAUUAGCUAGUUGGUGAGGUAAUGGCUCACCAAGGCGACGAUCAGUAGCCGACUUGAGAGAGUGAUCGGCCACAUUGGGACUGAGACACGGCCCAAACUCCUACGGGAGGCAGCAGUGGGGAAUAUUGCACAAUGGGGGAAACCCUGAUGCAGCGACGCCGCGUGAGUGAAGAAGUAUUUCGGUAUGUAAAGCUCUAUCAGCAGGGAAGAUAAUGACGGUACCUGACUAAGAAGCCCCGGCUAACUACGUGCCAGCCGCCGCAGUAA